rnacentral:rRNA from 1 species
UACGUAGGGGGCAAGCGUUGUCCGGAAUUAUUGGGCGUAAAGAGCUCGUAGGCGGUCUGUCGCGUCUGCUGUGAAAACUCGGGGCUUAACCCCGGGCCUGCAGUGGGUACGGGCAGACUAGAGUGCGGUAGGGGAGACUGGAAUUCCUGGUGUAGCGGUGAAAUGCGCAGAUAUCAGGAGGAACACCGAUGGCGAAGGCAGGUCUCUGGGCAUUAACUGACGCUGAGGAGCGAAAGCAUGGGGAGCGAACAGG